CAGGCUUAACACAUGCAAGUCGAGGGGCAUCAGGAAGAAAGCUUGCUUUCUUUGCCGGCGACCGGCGCACGGGUGAGUAACACGUAUCCAACCUGCCCUUUACUCGGGGAUAGCCUUUCGAAAGAAAGAUUAAUACCCGAUAGUAUAAUGAUUCCGCAUGGUUUCAUUAUUAAAGGAUUCCGGUAAAGGAUGGGGAUGCGUUCCAUUAGGUUGUUGGUGAGGUAACGGCUCACCAAGCCUUCGAUGGAUAGGGGUUCUGAGAGGAAGGUCCCCCACAUUGGAACUGAGACACGGUCCAAACUCCUACGGGAGGCAGCAGUGAGGAAUAUUGGUCAAUGGGCGCUAGCCUGAACCAGCCAAGUAGCGUGAAGGAUGAAGGCUCUAUGGGUCGUAAACUUCUUUUAUAUAAGAAUAAAGUGCAGUAUGUAUACUGUUUUGUAUGUAUUAUAUGAAUAAGGAUCGGCUAACUCCGUGCCAGCAGCCGCGGUAAUACGGAGGAUCCGAGCGUUAUCCGGAUUUAUUGGGUUUAAAGGGAGCGUAGGUGGACUGGUAAGUCAGUUGUGAAAGUUUGCGGCUCAACCGUAAAAUUGCAGUUGAUACUGUCAGUCUUGAGUACAGUAGAGGUGGGCGGAAUUCGUGGUGUAGCGGUGAAAUGCUUAGAUAUCACGAAGAACUCCGAUUGCGAAGGCAGCUCACUGGACUGCAACUGACACUGAUGCUCGAAAGUGUGGGUAUCAAACAGGAUUAGAUACCCUGGUAGUCCACACAGUAAACGAUGAAUACUCGCUGUUUGCGAUAUACAGUAAGCGGCCAAGCGAAAGCAUUAAGUAUUCCACCUGGGGAGUACGCCGGCAACGGUGAAACUCAAAGGAAUUGACGGGGGCCCGCACAAGCGGAGGAACAUGUGGUUUAAUUCGAUGAUACGCGAGGAACCUUACCCGGGCUUAAAUUGCAGUGGAAUGAUGUGGAAACAUGUCAGUGAGCAAUCACCGCUGUGAAGGUGCUGCAUGGUUGUCGUCAGCUCGUGCCGUGAGGUGUCGGCUUAAGUGCCAUAACGAGCGCAACCCUUAUCUUCAGUUACUAACAGGUCAUGCUGAGGACUCUGGAGAGACUGCCGUCGUAAGAUGUGAGGAAGGUGGGGAUGACGUCAAAUCAGCACGGCCCUUACGUCCGGGGCUACACACGUGUUACAAUGGGGGGUACAGAAGGCAGCUAGCGGGUGACCGUAUGCUAAUCCCAAAAUCCUCUCUCAGUUCGGAUCGAAGUCUGCAACCCGACUUCGUGAAGCUGGAUUCGCUAGUAAUCGCGCAUCAGCCACGGCGCGGUGAAUACGUUCCCGGGCCUUGUACACACCGCCCGUCAAGCCAUGGGAGCCGGGGGUACCUGAAGUACGUAACCGCAAGGAUCGUCCUAGGGUAAAACUGGUGACUGGGGCUAAGUCG
rnacentral:rRNA from 1 species